AAUCCCAAUGAUGAUGAAGAAUUAAAAAAUGUUAAAAGUAGUGACCGAUUAUAUAUUGACGAUAAUCAAAUUUUGAGGGAUU